AGGUAAUUGAAGCAGAUAUUUAUGAAGUCAUUGGGAGGUGAACUACCUCCAAUUCAACAGGCAGCAUCAUUUGAGGCAAGCAUUGGAACAGCAGCUGGGCAUGGAUUUCUCUCCUCUUGCCCCUUUAGUCUUGGACAUAUUUUUAUGGACUAAAUUCCAAAAUGGACCAGCAGAAAUUGUUUUGAGACAAUACCACAAUGCUCCAAACUUAACAAUACUUAGGAAGUUUCUUUGAGAAACUCAGUUUUUAAAGAAGAUUGAACUCUGCAUCACUCCUAAGUUAUUAUUUUAUUCAAACCAAAUAUAGCUACAAAUUUCUAUGCAUUGUAUUGUCCACCUGCCUCAGAUCUAUAACUCUCUAGGUUAUUUUGGACUGAGAUUUAAAUCUCGGCUCAGUCAGGACAUGGUGUUCCAACUUUCAGUUGUUGGAACAUGACCCUGGGUUUGCUCUUUAGAAUGUCUACUUGAUGUAUAAUUAAAUAUGGAAACGCUUAUAGCUCUUGUAGUUCGGUAUGUAAUUAUUGUUUGCCUAUGUAAAUUGGAUUACUUAAAUUGUCAUUGGUUGUUUUAUACUUCAGUUAAGAGGAGUAUGUAAGGACGUUUAUAUUAUAAAAGAAAUUGCAUUACCCGUGAUACUCUUACGUGGCUUGAUUCGAUUUAGGCAUUAGAAUUUAUAUUGGUGUAAAUUAAGACUUGCAUGUUACUCUGUCUUACUCAUCCUUGUCGAAUGUAAUAGGGGAAUUUACUGUUUGUAACUUGAACAAAAAUACUUUACAAAUUAAAAAUACUGUUGCUAUUUUAAAUGUUUAUCAACUCAUUUUAAAUACAUAAAACAUUUUAAAAAGCAUUACAUUUUAGUAAACCUACUAUAUAGAAGAUACAAUAUUAAUCUCUUCACUUCUCAUAUGAAAUUAUAUAAUUUCCUUUCACCUCUAUGUAAACUAUCAAGUUUUUUUUUAAAAUAGCAGUGUUCUUUUAUGAUCUGUUUUCUGUGCUUGCCUAACCCGUUAGUGAUGCCACAUUCUUGUCUUUGUUAUAGCAUAACCGUCAUGGAAGGUAUUUUGAUGUAAUGAACAUCUAAGUUAUGGGCAUCGCUGAAUGAAUCUGGCAAGAUGAGAAGGCUGGUUUAAAAAUAAAUUUGUAAAAGGAA